GCCUGGCUGGCUCAGUCGGUAGAGCACAUGACUCUCGAUCUUGGGUUCAUGGGUUCGAGCCCCACGUCGGGCA